rnacentral:tRNA from 1 species
AAAGACUUAAGUUAAAAAGACUGUGAGCCUUCAAAGCUUAAUGCGCAGGUUUAAUCCCUGCAGUCUUUG